UUUCAUCGACAUCUUUUUCAAGUGCCUUCAACCAAUCCUCCAAUGUAACAAAGUCUAGCUUAACGUUUUUCAUAGAUUCACAAAUACAAGCAAACUCAUCACCGUCAAACUUAUCAUAAGCCAAAAGUGGAGCAUACGCAUCAGCUUCUUUCUCCAAUAUUUGAGUCAGCGUCAUGCACAAUGCAUCAGUUGUUGAAAUGUGGAAUACCAAAGAUUGUGAUUCAUCGCUUUGUGGCCAAAUACCCAUUCGUAAAGCUGUCGCGACGAAACGCCAAAAGAAAUCUCUCGAUAAAAUUUCCCCAUCGUUUGCUAUAAUAAAUCCUGGACGAAUAACAUAUAUUAAGGGAUGUCCUAAAUCGCUAAUCUUUCGACACAAGAGCUCAGCAACGUAUUUGGAUAGUGCAUAUCCAGAUGCUUUAGCA